UCUUGGCGAAGUACGCGGUACAGAGGCAGGGCCGUUCACGUAUCAGGUGGAUGAUCUCUUGUUCAGUAUUAAUGUGGAUGAUGAUAUGGAACAGCCGGGACGCAAAAUGGUAUUAGGUCUGGUGGAAGGCUUAAGCUCAGGUGGUUUUACGAUGGAG
rnacentral:misc_RNA from 1 species